UCGAAGAUUAGAGUUUGAUCCUGGCUCAGGAUGAACGCUGGCGGCGUGGAUAAGGCAUGCAAGUCGAACGGACUUCAUUUUUCCAGAGAUGCGAUUACAUCAAGUCAAAGGUCGUUUGAAGUUAGUGGCGAACGAGGUAGUAAUAUAUAGGAACUUCCCCCUAAGUCGUGAACAACGUACCGAAAGGUGCGCUAAUACACGAUAGUCUCCCCGGAGUAAAGUUUUUCGCUUAGGGAAAGGCCUGUAAAGUAUCAGCUAGUUGGCAGUGUAAUGGACUACCAAGGCUAUGACGCUUAGGGGAGCUGAGAGGCUGACCCCCACCGAUGGGACUGAGACACGGCCCAUACACCUACGGGUGGCUGCAGUCGAGAAUCUUCCGCAAUGGACGAAAGUCUGACGGAGCGACGCCGCGUGAUUGAUGAAGCUUUUCGGAGUGUAAAGAUCUUUUAUGAGGGAAGAAGUUUAUUGACGGUACCUCAUGAAUAAGGGGCUCCUAAUCUCGUGCCAGCAGGAGCGGUAAUACGAGAGCCCCGAGCGUUAUCCGGAAUUAUUGGGCGUAAAGGGUGCGUAGGUGGUAGUGUUAGUCGUUUGUCAAAUCUCUGGGCUUAACCUAGAAACCGCGAACGAAACGGCACAACUAGAGAGUGUGAGGGGUAUAGGGAACUCAUGGUGUAGGGGUGAAAUCCGUUGAUAUCAUGGGGAACACCAAAAGCGAAGGCACUAUACUGGCACAUAUCUGACACUCAAGCACGAAAGCGUGGGUAGCGAAUGGGAUUAGAUACCCCAGUAGUCCACGCCCUAAACGAUGAUCUCUAGUCUUUCGGAGUAUCGACCCUCUGAGAGACGUAGCAAACGCGUUAAGAGAUCCGCCUGGGAAGUACGGCCGCAAGGCUAAAACUCAAAGGAAUAGACGGGGACUUGCACAAGUAGUGGAUUAUGUGGUUUAAUUCGACGAUAAACGAAGAACCUUACCAAGGUUAGAAAUCAACGUGAAAGCCCCGAGAAACCGGGGCCCUCGCAAGACUAGUUGACAGGUGAUGCAUGGCCGUCGUCAGUUCGUGGUUUGAAUUGUUCCCUUAAGUGGGGUAACGAACGCAACCCUCGUCGUGUGUUACAAGUGUCACACGAGACUGCCCCGACCCAAGUAAAUAAUUACUUUAGUAAUUGUUUGUUUCGGUCGGGGAGGAAGGGGAGGAUGACGCCAGGUCAGCAUGUCCCUUGAUACCUUGGGCUACACACAUAAUACAAUCGCAAUUACAACGGGCAGCGACGAGGUAACUCUGAGCAAAUCCUAAUAAAAAUUGCGCCAGUUCGGAUUGGGGGCUGCAACUCGACCCCAUGAAGUUGGAAUUACUAGUAAUCGCGGGUCAGACAUACCGCGGUGAAUACGUUCUCAAGUCUUGUACUCACCGCCCGUCAAUUCAAGGGAGCCGGGAGUACUCGAAAUCUCUCCACACGGAGGGCCUACAGUAAGCUCGGUGACAGGGAAUAAGUCGUAACAAGGUAACCAUCUCUAGAGG
rnacentral:rRNA from 1 species